rnacentral:rRNA from 1 species
AUUGAACGCUGGCGGCAUGCCUUACACAUGCAAGUCGAACGGCAGCGGGGGAGAAGCUUGCUUUUCCUGCCGGCGAGUGGCGAACGGGUGAGUAAUACAUCGGAACGUGCCCUGUAGUGGGGGAUAACUAGUCGAAAGAUUAGCUAAUACCGCAUACGACCUGAGGGUGAAAGUGGGGGACCGCAAGGCCUCAUGCUAUAGGAGCGGCCGAUGUCUGAUUAGCUAGUUGGUGGGGUAAAGGCCUACCAAGGCGACGAUCAGUAGCUGGUCUGAGAGGACGAUCAGCCACACGGGGACUGGGACACGGCCCAGACUCCUACGGGAGGCAGCAGUGGGGAAUUUUGGACAAUGGGCGAAAGCCUGAUCCAGCAAUGCCGCGUUUGUGAAGAAGGCCUCCGGGUUGUAAAGCACUUUUGUCCGGAAAGAAAUGGCUCUGGUUAAUACCUGGGGUCGAUGACGGUACCGGAAGAAUAAGGACCGGCUAACUACGUGCCAGCAGCCGCCGUAA